rnacentral:misc_RNA from 1 species
AAGAUGUGUAUAAGAGACAGGUGAGUCAUCGAAUCUUUGAACGCACAUUGCACCUUUUGGUAUUCCAUGAGGUAUACAUGUUCGAGCGUCGUUUAAAUCUGAGACUGACGUCUUGUGUUGACGUAUUCCGGCGGAUGUUGGAACGUUGAAAAUUAUAGGCGCACGUAUUCCGAUGCGAAUCCCAAUAAACUGGGAAAGCGCGGAAGUGCGGGCCGUCCUGAACCUUAAACCUUAAUCGAACGUUCGACCUCGAAUCAUGUAGGAUUACCCGCUGAACUUAAGCAUAUCAAUAAGCGGAGG